UUUUCUUUCUAUUGCACUGAUGAAGGUUGCCCCUUGAGCAUCCGAAACAGCUGUCUGUAUUUUAUAAAUAUUUUUGAGCUCUUUAACGUUGUUUGCCUUAGUUUUGCACUAUUUUCCUGUUUUAGGCUACCAAAAGCAACUAUUUUGUUCAAUUUUUUCUGUGGCAACCCUAUUUGUACCGCCUGACCGGAGACCCGAUUCGUGAGCAGGAAGCUAUACAAACUCACAGCAACUUCUCGCAGCUUCUGCUGAAAGACCACUUCCAGGCAUCUCAACUGCCAGAGCACAAUUUGAUACAGUGGAUUGAAGGUGACCCACCUUUGAUGCCUAUACAGCCACAAGCUCAAACAACUUCAUCUCUGCUGUAAAACUGUCUUCUUUGUCACAAGUGUAUUGUGUUUUGAAGGUACAUAGUGUGUAUGUAAGGUAGAUUGUGUGUAUACACAGUUUUUAUUUUUCUCUUGUGUUCUUAAUGCAUUUCUUUUCUUAUAAUAACGACAAAACUCAGUUUUGUUUCUUUAUUGUACCAAAGUCAGGGUAUCCAUGCACCUGUAAAGUCAUGAAUUUUGGCAUUGAACAAAAUUUGUCAUGAAAUGUCAUGAUUUUAACUAUUUU